rnacentral:rRNA from 1 species
GACGAACGCUGGCGGCGUGCUUAACACAUGCAAGUCGAACGGAAAGGCCCUGCUUUUGUGGGGUGCUCGAGUGGCGAACGGGUGAGUAACACGUGAGUAACCUGCCCUUGACUUUGGGAUAACUUCAGGAAACUGGGGCUAAUACCGGAUAGGAGCUCCUGCUGCAUGGUGGGGGUUGGAAAGUUUCGGCGGUUGGGGAUGGACUCGCGGCUUAUCAGCUUGUUGGUGGGGUAGUGGCUUACCAAGGCUUUGACGGGUAGCCGGCCUGAGAGGGUGACCGGCCACAUUGGGACUGAGAUACGGCCCAGACUCCUACGGGAGGCAGCAGUGGGGAAUAUUGCACAAUGGGCGGAAGCCUGAUGCAGCAACGCCGCGUGCGGGAUGACGGCCUUCGGGUUGUAAACCGCUUUCGCCUGUGACGAAGCGUGAGUGACGGUAAUGGGUAAAGAAGCACCGGCUAACUACGUGCCAGCAGCCGCGGUGAUACGUAGGGUGCGAGCAUUGUCCGGAUUUAUUGGGCGUAAAGGGCUCGUAGGUGGUUGAUCGCGUCGGAAGUGUAAUCUUGGGGCUUAACCCUGAGCGUGCUUUCGAUACGGGUUGACUUGAGGAAGGUAGGGGAGAAUGGAAUUCCUGGUGGAGCGGUGGAAUGCGCAGAUAUCAGGAGGAACACCAGUGGCGAAGGCGGUUCUCUGGGCCUUUCCUGACGCUGAGGAGCGAAAGCGUGGGGAGCGAACAGGCUUAGAUACCCUGGUAGUCCACGCUGUAAACGGUGGGUACUAGGUGUGGGGUCCAUUCCACGGGUUCCGUGCCGUAGCUAACGCUUUAAGUACCCCGCCUGGGGAGUACGGCCGCAAGGCUAAAACUCGAAGGAAUUGACGGGGCCCCGCACAAGCGGCGGAGCAUGCGGAUUAAUUCGAUGCAACGCGUAGAACCUUACCUGGGUUUGACAUGGAUCGGGAGUGCUCAGAGAUGGGUGUGCCUCUUUUGGGGUCGGUUCACAGGUGGUGCAUGGCUGUCGUCAGCUCGUGUCGUGAGAUGUUGGGUUAAGUCCCGCAACGAGCGCAACCCUUGUUCACUGUUGCCAGCACGUUAUGGUGGGGACUCAGUGGAGACCGCCGGGGUCAACUCGGAGGAAGGUGGGGAUGACGUCAAGUCAUCAUGCCCCUUAUGUCCAGGGCUUCACGCAUGCUACAAUGGCUGGUACAGAGAGUGGCGAGCCUGUGAGGGUGAGCGAAUCUCGGAAAGCCGGUCUCAGUUCGGAUUGGGGUCUGCAACUCGACCUCAUGAAGUCGGAGUCGCUAGUAGUCGCAGAUCAGCAACGCUGCGGUGAAUACGUUCCCGGG